CUGAUAACAAUCACUAGAUGUGACUUUAUCUGCAUUAGCCCCCCCCAAAAAAUUUUUAAAAAAAAUUGUAUUAUAAUCACAUUAUUAAAUACAAGGAAACAAAGGGAACAAAGAAACAAGGGGGGAAAAUUGUAUUAGACAGCUAAUAAUAAUCACGUUAAUAAAAACAAGGGAACAAAGAAAGUUGGAUUUUCCAGGUUCGAUC